rnacentral:lncRNA from 1 species
ACCCUGGGAUUUCUAUCUCUCUGGUUGGCACUUCUAACUGUGUUCAAGGUAUUUCUUCUCUCUGUCAAUCCAUCAAUCUCUACCAAAUACCUUAGAACUUUCAUUGAUAACUCUUUUCCUAACUCUAUUUUCCUUUCAUGCAUGAGCUUGUUUCUCGACCCCCACAAGAGCCACAUUCCACAACAGAACAAUCGGCAUUGUUUGUGAGUGCUCCUCUUGAAAAUCCAGGUUAGCCAAUCCCAAAAACUUUGGAUCAUAGAGUUGUUAACCCAAGAAAGAUCUAACAUUUUCCAAAUCUCUAUUGCUGUAGGACAAAACCGAAAGACGUGAGAUACAUCAUCUUCCCCAUAUCUGCAACAAUGGCAUACAGUAUCAUCAACUACUUGUUUAAAUCUCAGAUUGACUAAAGUAGGCAUAUAGUUCCAGAAAACUUUCCAAACUGUAAUUAUAAUCUUUGAGGGUAGCUGUAAAUCCCAUAGCUGUUUGUAGAAAUUUUUCAAAUCGGCCUGUGUUUUUCGCCAGAGGGAUUUGCAAAAUCCUUUGAGCAAUAUCUGCUGAAAAUGUACUUUUCACUAGAUCUGUCUUCCACAAAUUAUUUGUAGCAUCAAUUAAAUUAGAGACUAGCUUAACUUCACUAUCAUUUCUGUGGUUCUAGCCAUCUGUAUCUUUUUCUAGUAUCCAAUGAUCAUCCCAAACUAAGAUUCCAGUUCCCUUUCCUACUCUCCAACCCAUCCCACUUCGUAACAAACCUUUUGCAGCCUAGACACUACUCCAGGUAAGUGAAGGUAAGUUACCUAAUUGUGCAUUAAGAAAGUCUGAAUGUCGAUAAUACUUGGCUUUAAGACUCUUGCCGAUAAGAAAUUCGGAUAAGUAAUAAGGCACCAACCUUGC